CUUCAGAUGGCUGCAACCCUGGCCAUCAGCCUGACUACGAGUCCAGAAGAGACCCUGAGCCGGAACCCCAGCCAAGCUCCUCCCAGAUCCCUGGCCCUCUGAAAGGUCCCUCCAUGCUGAAGGCCAUCUCCCCUCACCACCCAAGGAAAAGUGACCUCGGGAAUUCUGGCAGAUCCCACACAGACAGGACGAUGGAAAAAGGAGCCAUGGUCGAUGGUGUCAGCAUGGAGUUGAAUUGUGGGACACUCCACUGGUAUCAGAAAACUGCUUGGUGGCGAUGGAAAAAAACCCACACACAUCAGAACUGGUGUCAGAAUCGGAC